CCCUUAGACGUUCUGGGCCGCACGCGCGCUACACUGACCAGUGCAACAAGCAUCCGUCCUUGGCCGACAGGCCCGGGCAAUCUUUGAACGCUGGUCGUGAUGGGGAUAGACUUUUGCAAUUUUUGGUCUUCAACGAGGAAUUCCUAGUAAACGCAAGUCAUCAACUUGCAUUGAUUACGUCCCUGCCCUUUGUACACACCGCCCGUCGCACCUACCGAUUGAAUGGUCCGGUGAAGCCUCCGGAUUGGCGCGCACCUCGGUGCCGCCGAGAAGUUGGCUAAACCUUAUCAUUUAGAGGAAGGAGAAGUCGUAACA
rnacentral:rRNA from 1 species